rnacentral:rRNA from 1 species
AGUGGCGGACGGGUGAGUAACGCGUGGAUAACCUGCCUCAUACGGGGGGAUAACAGUUGGAAACGGCUGUUAAUACCGCAUAAGCGCACGAAAUCGCAUGGUUUUGUGUGAAAAACUCCGGUGGUAUGAGAUGGGUCCGCGUCUGAUUAGCUAGUUGGCAGGGUAACGGCCUACCAAGGCGACGAUCAGUAGCCGGCCUGAGAGGGUGUACGGCCACAUUGGGACUGAGACACGGCCCAAACUCCUACGGGAGGCAGCAG